GUGCUGAUGUCUCUCUGAAUAAAGCAUAAAGGGAAGAUGAGAGGAAUAAUACUGCUCAGUCUUCUGGGUGUUGUCCUGGCUCUGCCUAAACCUCAACAACAAAAACGGCUGUGGCCAAAAGGUUCCAGGGUUCCCCUUGAAAAUGAAGAUGGGUUUGGAGAACAGGAACAACAAGAGACUCCCCAUGGUUUGGUAUACACAGGUACUCAGCCCACUAUGGAGUCCACUACUAGACCCUAUGCAAACACCGAGAACACAAUCCUAUCAGCAGUUGUAAAUCCUUUUAUAUCAGCAGUUCUAAACACUUUUGAGAGUUUGUUUAUUGAUUAUUAAAGGACUGUAUUGCUGUUAACUAUUCCUGGUUUGAGUUAGGGCUAUCGUGGUGGUGUGUCCAAUAAACCAGUGGUGUUCAA